rnacentral:rRNA from 1 species
GAUGAACGCUGGCGGCGUGCUUAACACAUGCAAGUCGAACGAAGCACUUCAUAAAGCUUGCUUUAGGAAGUGACUUAGUGGCGGACGGGUGAAUAACGCGUGGGUAACCUGCCUUACACAGGGGGAUAACAGUUAGAAAUGACUGCUAAUACCGCAUAAAACAGCAGAGUCGCAUGACUCAACUGUCAAAGAUUUAUCGGUGUAAGAUGGACCCGCGUCUGAUUAGCUUGUUGGUGGGGUAACGGCCUACCAAGGCGACGAUCAGUAGCCGGCCUGAGAGGGUGAACGGCCACAUUGGGACUGAGACACGGCCCAAACUCCUACGGGAGGCAGCAGUGGGGAAUAUUGGACAAUGGGCGAAAGCCUGAUCCAGCGACGCCGCGUGAGCGAUGAAGUAUUUCGGUAUGUAAAGCUCUAUCAGCAGGGAAGAAAACGACGGUACCUGACUAAGAAGCCCCGGCUA